CACUCCAUUGUUUAGCUGCAGCAGUCUGAAGCUGCGCUGAGGACUCUUGGAGCUUCAGAAUAGGUGCCCUUCAAAUGCUGUGAUAUGGGUAGCUUUCCCUUUUCCUUUAGGAAUUGCAUGACAUAGAACCCUGAAUGUAAUGGAAACAUAGACCCAAGCAUGAGAAAUACACUCUAUGGACAGAAUUAACAAGGCAGAGUCACAAUGGAUGCAGACAAAAUGUCCAAAACUGCCUACAUGUAGGUCAAUAAUCUGACAGCUGAGGACUCUUCUAUCACUGCAGAAGGAAGA